CCUGACGAGUGGCGAACGGGUGAGUAAUGCAUCGGAACGUACCCAGUCGUGGGGGAUAACGUAGCGAAAGUUACGCUAAUACCGCAUACGUCCUGAGGGAGAAAGCGGGGGACCGUAAGGCCUCGCGCGAUUGGAGCGGCCGAUGUCGGAUUAGCUAGUUGGUAGGGUAAAGGCCUACCAAGGCGACGAUCCGUAGCGGGUCUGAGAGGAUGAUCCGCCACACUGGGACUGAGACACGGCCCAG
rnacentral:rRNA from 1 species